UACGAAGGGGGCUAGCGUUGUUCGGAAUUACUGGGCGUAAAGCGCGCGUAGGCGGUUUUGCAAGCCAGAGGUGAAAUGCCUGCGCUCACCGCCGGAAUGGCCUUUGGGACUGCGAGGCUUUGAGGACUGGAGAGGUGAGUGGAAUUCCCAGUGUAGAGGUGAAAUGCGUAGAUAUUGGGAAGAACACCGGUGGCGAAGGCGGCUCACUGGCCAGUUUCUGACGCUGCAGCGCGAAAGCGUGGGGAUCAAACAGG
rnacentral:rRNA from 1 species